GCCACCAUAGCCCAGCGGUUAGAGCAAUGGUCUCGUAAACCAGAGGUCGUGGGUUCAAAUCCCACUGGUGGCG